UGGGGAAUCUUGCGCAAUGGGCGAAAGCCUGACGCAGCGACGCCGCGUGCGGGAAGAAGGCCUUCGGGUUGUAAACCGCUUUCAGGAGGGACGAGGCCACUCGGGUUAAUAGCCCAGAGGGUGACGGUACCUCCAGAAGAAGCCCCGGCUAACUACGUGCCAGCAGCCGCGGUAAUACGUAGGGGGCUAGCGUUGUCCGGAUUUAUUGGGCGUAAAGAGCGCGUAGGCGGCCGAGUAAGUCCGACGUGAAAUCUGGAGGCUCAACCUCCAGCGGUCGUUGGAAACUACUCGGCUAGAGUCCGGAAGAGGAGAGUGGAAUUCCUGGUGUAGCGGUGAAAUGCGCAGAUAUCAGGAAGAACACCGAUGGCGAAAGCAGCUCUCUGGGACGGUACUGACGCUGAGGCGCGAAAGCGUGGGGAGCGAACAGGAUUAGAUACCCUGGUAGUCCACGCCGUAAACGAUGGGUGCUAGGUGUGGGCGGUGUCGACUCCGCCCGUGCCGAAGCUAACG
rnacentral:rRNA from 1 species